rnacentral:rRNA from 1 species
ACGCUCGACACCUACGGGAGGCAGCAGUGGGGAAUAUUGCACAAUGGGGGAAACCCUGAUGCAGCGACGCCGCGUGAGCGAAGAAGUAUUUCGGUAUGUAAAGCUCUAUCAGCAGGGAAGAAAGUGACGGUACCUGACUAAGAAGCACCGGCUAAAUACGCGCCAGCAGCCGCGGUAAUCUGAGCGGGCUGGCAAGGC